rnacentral:piRNA from 1 species
AUAUUGAUGUAGGAGCCUCUCC